UUCCGGGUACUAUUGUAGGACGUGAAAACACCCGAUCCCAUUCCGACCUCGAUCCGUGAAAUCGUCUUACGCCAUAUGUACUGAUUUUUGCAUUUUGGGAGACAUGGUUCAAGCCCGGAA
rnacentral:rRNA from 1 species